UACGUAGGUGGCGAGCGUUGUCCGGAUUUACUGGGCGUAAAGAGCGCGCAGGCGGUCGAUUUAGUCGGGUGUGAAAGCCCCCGGCUCAACUGGGGAGGGUCACGCGAUACUGAUCGACUCGAAGGCAGGAGAGGGUAGUGGAAUUCCCGGUGUAGUGGUGAAAUGCGUAGAUAUCGGGAGGAACACCAGUGGCGAAGGCGACUACCUGGCCUGUUCUUGACGCUGAGGCGCGAAAGCUAGGGGAGCAAACGGG
rnacentral:rRNA from 1 species